rnacentral:rRNA from 1 species
UUUUAACGGCCGCGGUAUCCUAACCGUGCGAAGGUAGCGUAAUCACUUGCCCUUUAAAUGAGGGCCAGUAUGAAUGGCUUUAUGAGGGCCUAACUGUCUCCUACAACCAAUUAAUGAACCUGAUCUCCCAGUACAAAAGCUGGUAUAUACACAUAAGACGAGAAGACCCUGUGGAGCUUUAAACAAACCCUAAACCACACCACCCAGACACAAAACCACGUAGUAUUAGACAAGUUUUAAGUUGGGGCGACUGUGGGGAAAAAUAAAACCCCCAUGAAAUACCACUAUUUUCGGUAGACAUACCAAAAAUACAAUGAAAUGACCCAGUAAUACUGACUUACGAACCAAGUUACCCCAGGGGUAACAGCGCCAUCCCCUUCAAGAGUCCCUAUCGCCAAGGGGGUUUACGACCUCGAUGUUGGAUCAGGACAUCCAGGUGGUGUAGCCGCUACCAAGGGUUCGUUUGUUCAACGAUUAACAGUCCU